UUUCAUAUUGGCUGUAAUUGGUUUGAGAAUCUCGAAAGUCUGUUAUAAGGAAAGUCGAACCGUAAUGUAGCUGAUAAUGAAGAACUGAUCUAAGUUGGCCUAAGAGCUGGUUGUCUGCGCAAUAUAUACAUACAAAAGAUCCUCAACAGGCUCAGUCUGGAAUUGAAGAGAAUGCAACCUUUCAUUCUGGAAUUUUACAGCAACUCGAUUAU
rnacentral:lncRNA from 1 species